rnacentral:rRNA from 1 species
UACGGAGGGGGCUAGCGUUAUUCGGAAUUAUUGGGCGUAAAGGGCGUGUAGGCGGCUAGGUAAGUCAAAGGUGAAACCCCUCGGCUCAACCGAGGAACUGCCUUUGAAACUGCCUGGCUUGAGGCCGGGAGAGGGUAGUGGAAUUCCCAGUGUAGCGGUGAAAUGCGUAGAUAUUGGGAGGAACACCGGUGGCGAAGGCGGCUACCUGGACCGGUUCUGACGCUGAGGCGCGAAAGCGUGGGGAGCAAGCAGG